GGGCGGGUAGCGUAGUGGUCAGCGCGUUCCUGAGCGUUUUAUUCAGCGUCUGUUUUCUUUCAGUUACUUUCUCUUCAGCGUUUAGCGAAAGACCUGGGUUCAAAUCCCAGCCCGCCCA